GGCAUCCCUAUUCUUAAAACAGGCUGUGUUCUUUAUAGACUAUAUAGAAAGAGAAGGUUCAGUAAAUGCACCCCAUAUAUACCUCAAUACAGGCCCUUUGCCUGGUCUGUAUUGUGAAUUGGGGGACAAAA